rnacentral:hammerhead_ribozyme from 1 species
AUCCAGCUAACGAGUUCAAAAUAAAAUGAAACGCGCGUUCUGGAU